GACGAACGCUGGCGGCGUGCUUAACACAUGCAAGUCGAACGGAAAGGCCCCUUUGGGGGUACUCGAGUGGCGAACGGGUGAGUAACACGUGAGUAACCUGCCCUUGACUUCGGGAUAACUUCAGGAAACUGGGGCUAAUACCGGAUAGGAAUCCUUGCUGCAUGGUGGGGGUUGGAAAGCUUCGGCGGUUCUGGAUGGACUCGCGGCUUAUCAGCUUGUUGGUGGGGUAGUGGCUUACCAAGGCUUUGACGGGUAGCCGGCCUGAGAGGGCGACCGGCCACAUUGGGACUGAGAUACGGCCCAGACUCCUACGGGAGGCAGCAGUGGGGAAUAUUGCACAAUGGGCGGAAGCCUGAUGCAGCAACGCCGCGUGCGGGAUGACGGCCUUCGGGUUGUAAACCGCUUUCAGCAGGGGCGAAGCUUGUGGUGACGGUACCUGCAGAAGAAGCACCGGCUAACUACGUG
rnacentral:rRNA from 1 species